rnacentral:rRNA from 1 species
GACGAACGCUGGCGGCGUGCUUAACACAUGCAAGUCGAACGGAAAGGCCCUGCUUUUGUGGGGUGCUCGAGUGGCGAACGGGUGAGUAACACGUGAGUAACCUGCCCUUGACUUUGGGAUAACUUCAGGAAACUGGGGCUAAUACCGGAUAGGAGCUCCUGCUGCAUGGGGGGGGUUGGAAAGUUUCGGCGGUGGGGGAUGGACUCGCGGCUUAUCAGCUUGUUGGUGGGGUAGUGGCUUACCAAGGCUUUGACGGGUAGCCGGCCUGGGAGGGUGACCGGCCACAUUGGGACUGAGAUACGGCCCAGACUCCUACGGGAGGCAGCAGUGGGGAAUAUUGCACAAUGGGCGGAAGCCUGAUGCAGCAACGCCGCGUGCGGGAUGACGGCCUUCGGGUUGUAAACCGCUUUCGCCUGUGACGAAGCGUGAGUGACGGUAAUGGGUAAAGAAGCACCGGCUAACUACGUG